rnacentral:rRNA from 1 species
GGCGGCGUGCUUAACACAUGCAAGUCGAACGGAAAGGCCCUGCUUUUGUGGGGUGCUCGAGUGGCGAACGGGUGAGUAACACGUGAGUAACCUGCCCUUGACUUUGGGAUAACUUCAGGAAACUGGGGCUAAUACCGGAUAGGAGCUCCUGCUGCAUGGUGGGGGUUGGAAAGUUUCGGCGGUUGGGGAUGGACUCGCGGCUUAUCAGCUUGUUGGUGGGGUAGUGGCUUACCAAGGCUUUGACGGGUAGCCGGCCUGAGAGGGUGACCGGCCACAUUGGGACUGAGAUACGGCCCAGACUCCUACGGGAGGCAGCAGUGGGGAAUAUUGCACAAUGGGCGGAAGCCUGAUGCAGCAACGCCGCGUGCGGGAUGACGGCCUUCGGGUUGUAAACCGCUUUCGCCUGUGACGAAGCGUGAGUGACGGUAAUGGGUAAAGAAGCACCGGCUAACUACGUGCCAGCAGCCGCGGUGAUACGUAGGGUGCGAGCGUUGUCCGGAUUUAUUGGGCGUAAAGGGCUCGUAGGUGGUUGAUCGCGUCGGAAGUGUAAUCUUGGGGCUUAACCCUGAGCGUGCUUUCGAUACGGGUUGACUUGAGGAAGGUAGGGGAGAAUGGAAUUCCUGGUGGAGCGGUGGAAUGCGCAGAUAUCAGGAGGAACACCAGUGGCGAAGGCGGUUCUCUGGGCCUUUCCUGACGCUGAGGAGCGAAAGCGUGGGGAGCGAACAGGCUUAGAUACCCUGGUAGUCCACGCUGUAAACGGUGGGUACUAGGUGUGGGGUCCAUUCCACGGGUUCCGUGCCGUAGCUAACGCUUUAAGUACCCCGCCUGGGGAGUACGGCCGCAAGGCUAAAACUCAAAGGAAUUGACGGGGCCCCGCACAAGCGGCGGAGCAUGCGGAUUAAUUCGAUGCAACGCGUAGAACCUUACCUGGGUUUGACAUGGAUCGGGAGUGCUCAGAGAUGGGUGUGCCUCUUUUGGGGUCGGUUCACAGGUGGUGCAUGGCUGUCGUCAGCUCGUGUCGUGAGAUGUUGGGUUAAGUCCCGCAACGAGCGCAACCCUUGUUCACUGUUGCCAGCACGUUAUGGUGGGGACUCAGCGGAGACCGCCGGGGUCAACUCGGAGGAAGGUGGGAUGACGUCAAGUCAUCAUGCCCCUUAUGUCCAGGGCUUCACGCAUGCUACAAUGGCUGGUACAGAGAGUGGCGAGCCUGUGAGGGUGAGCGAAUCUCGGAAAGCCGGUCUCAGUUCGGAUUGGGGUCUGCAACUCGACCUCAUGAAGUCGGAGUCGCUAGUAAUCGCAGAUCAGCAACGCUGCGGUGAAUACGUUCCCGGGGCUUGUACACACCGCCCGUCAAGUCAUGAAAGUUGGUAACACCCGAAGCCGGUGGCCUAACCGUUGUGGGGGAGCCGUCGAAGGUGGGACUGGUGAUUAGGACUAA